CCAAGGCUUGACAUAUACCGGAAACGUCCAGAGAUGGUCGCCCCGCAAGGUCGGUAUACAGGUGGUGCAUGGUUGUCGUCAGCUCGUGUCGUGAGAUGUUGGGUUAAGUCCCGCAACGAGCGCAACCCUCGUUCUAUGUUGCCAGCACGUUAUGGUGGGAACUCAUAUGAGACUGCCGGGGUCAACUCGGAGGAAGGUGGGGAUGACGUCAAGUCAUCAUGCCCCUUAUGCCUAGGGCUUCACGCAUGCUACAAUGGCCGGUACAAAGGGCUGCGAUACCGCAAGGUGGAGCGAAUCCCAAAAAGCCGGUCUCAGUUCGGAUUGGGGUCUGCAACUCGACCCCAUGAAGUCGGAGUCGCUAGUAAUCGCAGAUCAGCAACGCUGCGGUG
rnacentral:rRNA from 1 species